rnacentral:rRNA from 1 species
CACACUAUCAUUAACUGAAUCCAUAGGUUAAUGAGGCGAACCGGGGGAACUGAAACAUCUAAGUACCCCGAGGAAAAGAAAUCAACCGAGAUUCCCCCAGUAGCGGCGAGCGAACGGGGAGGAGCCCAGAGUCUGAAUCAGCAUGUGUGUUAGUGGAAGCGUCUGGAAAGGCGCGCGAUACAGGGUGACAGCCCCGUACACAAAAGCGCAUAUGCUGUGAGCUCGAUGAGUAGGGCGGGACACGUGGUAUCCUGUCUGAAUAUGGGGGGACCAUCCUCCAAGGCUAAAUACUCCUGACUGACCGAUAGUGAACCAGUACCGUGAGGGAAAGGCGAAAAGAACCCCGGCGAGGGGAGUGAAAAAGAACCUGAAACCGUGUACGUACAAGCAGUGGGAGCACCCUUUGGGGUGUGACUGCGUACCUUUUGUAUAAUGGGUCAGCGACUUAUAUUCUGUAGCAAGGUUAACCGUAUAGGGGAGCCGCAGGGAAACCGAGUCUUAACCGGGCGUUAAGUUGCAGGGUAUAGACCCGAAACCCGGUGAUCUAGCCAUGGGCAGGUUGAAGGUUGGGUAACACUAACUGGAGGACCGAACCGACUAAUGUUGAAAAAUUAGCGGAUGACCUGUGGCUGGGGGUGAAAGGCCAAUCAAACCGGGAGAUAGCUGGUUCUCCCCGAAAGCUAUUUAGGUAGCGCCUCGUGAAUUCAUCUCCGGGGGUAGAGCACUGUUUCGGCUAGGGGGCCAUCCCGGCUUACCAACCCGAUGCAAACUGCGAAUACCGGAGAAUGUUAUCACGGGAGACACACGGCGGGUGCUAACGUCCGUCGUGAAGAGGGAAACAACCCAGACCGCCAGCUAAGGUCCCAAAGUCAUGGUUAAGUGGGAAACGAUGUGGGAAGGCCCAGACAGCCAGGAUGUUGGCUUAGAAGCAGCCAUCAUUUAAAGAAAGCGUAAUAGCUCACUGGUCGAGUCGGCCUGCGCGGAAGAUGUAACGGGGCUAAACCAU